rnacentral:rRNA from 1 species
GAUGAACGCUGGCGGCGUGCCUAAUACAUGCAAGUCGAGCGAACGGACGAGAAGCUUGCUUCUCUGAUGUUAGCGGCGGACGGGUGAGUAACACGUGGAUAACCUACCUAUAAGACUGGGAUAACUUCGGGAAACCGGAGCUAAUACCGGAUGAUAUUUUGAACCGCAUGGUUCAAAAGUGAAAGACGGUCUUGCUGUCACUUAUAGAUGGAUCCGCGCUGCAUUAGCUAGUUGGUAAGGUAACGGCUUACCAAGGCAACGAUGCAUAGCCGACCUGAGAGGGUGAUCGGCCACACUGGAACUGAGACACGGUCCAGACUCCUACGGGAGGCAGCAGUAGGGAAUCUUCCGCAAUGGGCGAAAGCCUGACGGAGCAACGCCGCGUGAGUGAUGAAGGUCUUCGGAUCGUAAAACUAUGUUAUUAGUGAAGAACAUAUGUGUAAGUAACUGUGAACAUCUUGACGGUACCUAAUCAGAAAGCCACGGCUAACUACGUG